AUCCAGGCACCAAAAGAUUGUGAAUGGGAUCCUUUUCUAUUUUCCAUUUUGUGUCAUGCAUGUGAAAAUGAUCAAGUAUAUGGUGCUGAACCUGAAUUCUAUUGUUGUUUCCUCUUAUUGUUUUGAUUUUUUAUAUUUGCACUCAGGUCGCGGAUUUUUGGUUGUGGUGGCAAAUCAAUUCAACGGUCAAGUAUGUGAUGAUGCUACAGCUGAAUGUUUUGCAAUAGGGUCAUGGACUCUUGUAAAGCAAGCAAGUAGAAAAAUUAAUUGGCGUGGGAAGUGCUCCAGACAUACGGUGACUUGGUCGGACCGACGAUAGCGCGGGAAGCGGAUUGGGAAGGCACCCUAUAACACGUCGUUAGGCUCCGUUUGUUGCUUUGAUCAGGCACCUUUGUCAAAUAUCAUACCAUAUCUGCUCUUGUUGGUGGUAGUCUUUUGGCUGAACAGAAGUGCCCCCCCCCCCCCAUGAAAAUAAACGUGAUGCUCGCUUGCAAGGACCUGCUUGUAGUCAUGGACUAAUGACUGUUGUAGUGAUGACAUUGGCUGGAAAAGGAGUAAAGCUUGUCGUCAAAACAGGAAACUCCACUCUCCGUCAAAUCAAAAACUUCACUUGGCACCGUUGAACACAAUGGCAGGCUCCCUCCACUUUUUGUUCAGGCACCUUUGUCAAGAUUCUAACAAGAAAUCGAAGAAUGGAAGAUGUAUGCAAGGACAAAUGUUGAGCAGACAAAGAAGGAAAGUAUUUGUGGUCAUGACUUCCAUGUUUAUCGCCUAAGCAAAGCGUGAUUUCAAAUUUUCCAGCGUGC